UACGUAGGGUGCGAGCGUUAAUCGGAAUUACUGGGCGUAAAGCGUGCGCAGGCGGUUUUGUAAGUCAGAUGUGAAAUCCCCGGGCUCAACCUGGGAACUGCGUUUGAAACUACAAGGCUAGAGUGUGGCAGAGGGGGGGUGGAAUUCCACGUGUAGCAGUGAAAUGCGUAGAGAUGUGGAGGAACACCGAUGGCGAAGGCAGCCCCCCUGGGUUAACACUGACGCUCAGGCACGAAAGCGUGGGGAGCAAACAGG
rnacentral:rRNA from 1 species